AUGAACGCUAGCUACAGGCUUAACACAUGCAAGUCGAGGGGCAGCAUGGUCUUAGCUUGCUAAGGCCGAUGGCGACCGGCGCACGGGUGAGUAACACGUAUCCAACCUGCCGUCUACUCUUGGACAGCCUUCUGAAAGGAAGAUUAAUACAAGAUGGCAUCAUGAGUCCGCAUGUUCACAUGAUUAAAGGUAUUCCGGUAGACGAUGGGGAUGCGUUCCAUUAGAUAGUAGGCGGGGUAACGGCCCACCUAGUCUUCGAUGGAUAGGGGUUCUGAGAGGAAGGUCCCCCACAUUGGAACUGAGACACGGUCCAAACUCCUACGGGAGGCAGCAGUGAGGAAUAUUGGUCAAUGGGCGAGAGCCUGAACCAGCCAAGUAGCGUGAAGGAUGACUGCCCUAUGGGUUGUAAACUUCUUUUAUAAAGGAAUAAAGUCGGGUAUGCAUACCCGUUUGCAUGUACUUUAUGAAUAAGGAUCGGCUAACUCCGUGCCAGCAGCCGCGGUAAUACGGAGGAUCCGAGCGUUAUCCGGAUUUAUUGGGUUUAAAGGGAGCGUAGAUGGAUGUUUAAGUCAGUUGUGAAAGUUUGCGGCUCAACCGUAAAAUUGCAGUUGAUACUGGAUAUCUUGAGUGCAGUUGAGGCAGGCGGAAUUCGUGGUGUAGCGGUGAAAUGCUUAGAUAUCACGAAGAACUCCGAUUGCGAAGGCAGCCUGCUAAGCUGCAACUGACAUUGAGGCUCGAAAGUGUGGGUAUCAAACAGGAUUAGAUACCCUGGUAGUCCACACGGUAAACGAUGAAUACUCGCUGUUUGCGAUAUACGGCAAGCGGCCAAGCGAAAGCGUUAAGUAUUCCACCUGGGGAGUACGCCGGCAACGGUGAAACUCAAAGGAAUUGACGGGGGCCCGCACAAGCAGUGGAGUAUGUGGUUUAAUUCGAAGCAACGCGAAGAACCUUACCAGGGCUUGACAUAUACAGGAAUACUUAAGAAAUUAAGUAGCUCUUCGGAGCUUGUAUACAGGUGGUGCAUGGUUGUCGUCAGCUCGUGCCGUGAGGUGUCGGCUUAAGUGCCAUAACGAGCGCAACCCUUGUUGUCAGUUACUAACAGGUUCCGCUGAGGACUCUGACAAGACUGCCAUCGUAAGAUGUGAGGAAGGUGGGGAUGACGUCAAAUCAGCACGGCCCUUACGUCCGGGGCUACACACGUGUUACAAUGGGGGGUACAGAGGGCCGCUACCACGCGAGUGGAUGCCAAUCCCAAAAACCUCUCUCAGUUCGGACUGGAGUCUGCAACCCGACUCCACGAAGCUGGAUUCGCUAGUAAUCGCGCAUCAGCCACGGCGCGGUGAAUACGUUCCCGGGCCUUGUACACACCGCCCGUCAAGCCAUGGGAGCCGGGGGUACCUGAAGUGCGUAACCGCGAGGAGCGCCCUAGGGUAAAACUGGUGACUGGGGCU
rnacentral:rRNA from 1 species